AUGGUAACAAAAUGUUGGGUCACCACUACCAUAUUAUUCCCAUGGAAUAAAGAGGGCACAUGGAAAUUUCUUUAUCCAGAAACGUGGAAAAGAAAAACCAAAAAAGUUUGACCAGUAAGAAAUGUAACGAAGAACCCGGAACCAUGGAAGCAGGUCCUUUCACUUCAACAUUUUUGCUAAAAUCUCGAAUACUUGAAAAAACCAAGUUGUACUCAAAGAAGAAAAUACAAAUUUAAAUGAAACCCUACAACUACAACAGUGUGAAAAAAAACUAUUGUUCCAAGAUAUUAGUGGGGCUCACUUUUUAGUGUAGCUGGGCUGUGGAAAUCAUACCACCAGAAUAUCUAUUAUGUACGUUGAUGAAGUUUCGAUUAAAUUUAAAAUAUUUUAAGUGUUUUAGAUUUACAGUGAGUAGGUAACAUGAAAAUGCAAAACAUUAUCGUCACAUUUAUAUGUGCUACUUGUAAUGUUGUACGCGGGCCUUAUGAGUAAUAUGAGUAAUAGAGAGAAAAAUUAUCUUUUUAUAUCGACAUGCUUCAAAGACAUCACAAAUGGCAGAAUUGUGUUGGAUUGCACGGAAAUUGAAGGUGCAAUUCCGCAUUCCUUUAAAAAAGCUUUAUCUUCU